ensembl:lncRNA
GACUGGCCUUGGCAGAACUCUGUAGCCAAUAUACUGACAAAGAGAAGAUAGCAUGGAAAGUGAAGCCGUUCACAACUUACAUGGAAUCUAUGGAUCUACAGCAGAAUCACUUCCUAUAUCAUCUGCCAAUAUUUUCACUUUUGGGAAAAUAUAAUUAUCAUACCUCCAAGCACACACAGGGCUGAUCUUUGGAACAUUUCUUCACUGUCAGAAGAACAGGCUGAAAACAGGGAGAAGAACUAACUGCUACUGCCAGCAUUCCUGAUGCUUUGUCUACUGAAAUUUCCUAGGACUGGUGGAGCUGCACUGGUAUCACAGAAGGCAGUUUUUGUUGAGAGAGGAAAAAAUGCACCACAGAAGAGCGUGUUGAUUUCCUUGUAUCAUCGACCCCUCCUGAAAGGGUAUUGGAAGAACACUUCCAAGAAGCACAAGUUAUGGCAAAGAACGUGGCUCCAGAAGGAAUAAGAAAGGGAUGAAGAGUGAGGAGGUUAUGCCAACGUCAAGAGAGUGGCCUGCCAGGAAGCAUGGCACAGCAGUGUAGUAAGGUCAGCUUUGGUGGGCCUCUGCCUCAAAUCUGGCACCAAUUUAUCUUUGUGCACAGCCUCUAACAGUGCCAAGAGCAAAUCUGACCCAUGAGCUGGCUAUCAGACAACAGCCUGGGCAUCCACAGCAAUGAGAGGAAAGCUAAGCCCCACUCUUCAGGCAAAGGAGUUAUUUCAGGACUUAGAAGCAGACAUGCCACUUGGGUUGAAAUAGCUUUCUUAUCAAGAUGUUGAGCAGCACAAGGUAUCAAUGUAUUCUGCUCUUCUGUGAGGAUCCUGUGGGAUAGCUUUGGAGAAAGCAAGGAGUGUGGAAAGGAUCUGAAGCACAACUCACUGAAAGAGUUUUGGAUCAGGCCAGUGGACAAAGGGAUUUUUCAGUAGCUAGGAUAUGCGGCUGAAACUUCAGUUUCUAAAAACAAGCCACGACAACUGUAAGCCAACAGCUGUCUUCUUGGUACCUGCUCACUGAGAUGGAUUUGUUUUGAAAUUUCCUGUGUAUUUCAAAGCUUUUUUUUUUUUUUU